UGGAGAGUUUGAUCCUGGCUCAGAUUGAACGCUGGCGGCAGGCUUAACACAUGCAAGUCGAGCGGUAGCACRGGGGAGCUUGCUCCCUGGGUGACGAGCGGCGGACGGGUGAGUAAUGUCUGGGAAACUGCCUGAUGGAGGGGGAUAACUACUGGAAACGGUAGCUAAUACCGCAUAACGUCGCAAGACCAAAGAGGGGGACCUUCGGGCCUCUUGCCAUCAGAUGUGCCCAGAUGGGAUUAGCUAGUAGGUGGGGUAAUGGCUCACCUAGGCGACGAUCCCUAGCUGGUCUGAGAGGAUGACCAGCCACACUGGAACUGAGACACGGUCCAGACUCCUACGGGAGGCAGCAGUGGGGAAUAUUGCACAAUGGGCGCAAGCCUGAUGCAGCCAUGCCGCGUGUGUGAAGAAGGCCUUCGGGUUGUAAAGCACUUUCAGCGAGGAGGAAGGUGGUGARCUUAAUACGYUCAUCAAUUGACGUUACUCGCAGAAGAAGCACCGGCUAACUCCGUGCCAGCAGCCGCGGUA
rnacentral:rRNA from 1 species